rnacentral:lncRNA from 11 species
CUUCUUAGAAUUAGCUUCUGAAGCUUGCUCACUAUAUAGAAUUCCAAGGUGGACUGAUCUAUUCUAGAAAAUUUCAGACAGUUCACUCUGGGGCAGGAAAGAAAACUCUCUUCUAUAAAGACCUGAACAAUUUGUUUAUGUAUUGGUCUCUUUUGACCAUUUUCAGGAACCUGGAAUAAAGAAAACUACCAGAUAAUCUUAGGAGGCCAUGUCUACACUGGCAGGCAAAUCCAGAGCAAAUCUAGCAGCAGCCACAACAAUGGAGUAUGGAAGGAGGUCCAUAAGGAGUGCACCUUGAAUUACUGCACUGAGUGUACCAACCCUAGUUGGUGCAUGCAGCCACAGCCAACGAGAUACACUCUCACGAUAUAUGUCCUGUUACCUGAGAACCUCUUGGAAGAAGACUGUUUGCAUGAACAAGGGCCAGUAUGA